UACAGAGGGGGCAAGCGUUGUUCGGAAUUACUGGGCGUAAAGGGCGCGUAGGCGGCCUCCUAAGUCAGACGUGAAAUCCCUCGGCUCAACCGGGGAACUGCGUCUGAUACUGGGAGGCUUGAAUCCGGGAGAGGGAUGUGGAAUUCCAGGUGUAGCGGUGAAAUGCGUAGAUAUCUGGAGGAACACCGGUGGCGAAGGCGGCAUCCUGGACCGGUAUUGACGCUGAUGCGCGAAAGCCAGGGGAGCAAACGGGG
rnacentral:rRNA from 1 species